AGGCAGGCCUCAAAUUCACAGUCCUCCUGCCUCAACCUCUUGAGUGCUGGGAUUUCAGAAUCGCCCUCCUCACCACCUGCGGAACAGAAGACAAAUGAUGCACCUUCACUCCAGCAUACUUAGAGGCAUUAUGAAUAAAGAGUCUACUAAGAAGGUUUAUCACGCCUCCCAGAAAAGUCAGCACACUACAAAUGCAGUGCAGUUUAUGGACUAUGAAUAGGAAACACUCUGAAAUUAAGUGAUAUAAACAAGCCAUACUUUAAACAAGAUGCUCUAAGCAUGCUAUACUAAAUGUAUACCAGUAUUUAUACUGAUCCAUUUAUUAACAUCCUGUGUGCUCAUCUUUCCACACUUACAUAAUUUACCAACAUUUGGUUUCAGUGAGGUCGCACAGUCCAUUAACUAUAUUUCUCAUUACUUUUCAUCAGCCAAUAAUAUUACCAUAGUCGUAAUACUUCCUGUACAUAGGUGAACUUUUCUUACAGCCCAUUUCUAUUUAAAGUUAUAACCACAACAAUUCAUGUGCAGACAGUUGUUGGAGCAGAAUUUCAUUUAAUUAUGUAAUUCUAAGUAGCUGAAGUAUAGUCAAGGUUCAUAAAAGGGAAAAUAAUCAGAGCAAGAAUAACCCAUCAGUGGUGGGUGUAAGAAUAAGGCAAUUAAGAUACUUGGCCCCUUCUGUGUGUAGAAGGCUGGAACACAUCUCUUCAUUUCUCGUUCCCCUGGUAUUUCCUCCUGUCAUAGACAGAAGGGCAAUUUAUUUCCCCUUACAUGGUGAGAAAGGUGAAGAAAUAAAGAAUGCAAAGGGCUGGGGAUUUAGCUCAGUGGUGCCGCUGCCUGCCUCGAAAGCACAGGGUCCUGAGUUUGAUCCCCAGUACCCCCCAAAAAGAAUGCAAUUUUAAAAUAGAUAUAAUAAAAGCCUUGCUACCUUCCUUGCUAAGGGUUAUGAAGUUCUGGUGAGGAACAUUUGAAAUUCCCUUGUAAACUGUAAAGGGAAAACCUUCUUCUGUGGCAGCCUUGCUUAAAAUCUGGCAGUGUCUUCCCUAGGACUUCAGGAUGAAGUUCAGAAUCUGUGUAUGCCUCAGUGAUCCUCCCUGACCUCAGCUCACACCUGCAGACAUCUCCUAUCUCUCAGUCACCUCCAGUGUUCCACAUACAUGACAAGCUUCCAUUCAUGCUCAUCCUUCUCUUUGUACCCUUACUUCUCUGUCCCUUACAUCUGUGUAGGUAUUCCUCCUCCAUGUCCCCUUCGAAACACAUGCUUUCUCUCAAGCAACACUUCCCAGCAGCAGCACCGUGGGCAUUCUGGACAGGACAGGAUUUUUUUUUAAUUGAGGAGGGUUGGCAGGGCACUAUAGAGUGUUUAGCAGCAUCAGUGACCUCUAUCCACUAGAUGCCAGUAGCAGGCCCCUCAUUUUGACAACCACUUUCCCCAGAAACAAAUUGCAUUUGCUGAGAACCACUGCUCUAAGGUACAGCUUAUACUGGAACCAGUUGUAGUCUAACUAUAGCCAGAUGCUCACAAAAUGUACACACAAAUAAAAAUGCAGCUUUCUUUGUUAGUAGAGGACUGAUCUUGCUUUCAAGCCACCAAGCCACCAUCACACUGGUGAGAGAAAAUAUUUGAUCUGGCUAAUUGAAAGUAUCCUAUUCUUUUCUGGUUUAAAACCUUUUAUUGCAUGAAAAGUGAAGCAUUCCCCUCUGAAGUUUGAUUUCAUGUUUACUCAUAAACAGCAGCUGCUCUCAAAAGUUGUUCACUUAAUCCCUGGUACCAAAAAAAAAAAUUGUUCACUUUUCCUUGGCCUGGUGGCACAUGCCUGUAAUCCCAGCACUUAGAAGGCUGAAGCAGGAGGAUUGCUGUAAAUUCAAGGCCAGUCUGAACUACAUAGUGAGACCCUGUCUCAAAAAACAAACAAACAAAAGUUGUCCACUUCUGAGUAAUUGUGAGUUUGCCUCAGAGCACACAAAUGCUCUAAAGGGCUUUUUGUUUUAUGUCGUAGGAGAAGUGGGCAGAAUGAGCUGGAUGCUCAGAAGUUUGCAAGUUAAGCCAUGGAGCAGAAGCAGGGAGGGGACACUACAUCUGGUCUUCUCUCUGCCUAGAUCUAUUUCCAACUUAAAGUCUAAGCAGGGUGUUUUCAUUCAGCACCUUUCAAAGGACACUUGGAGUUUACCUAGCAUUUCCCCAGAGAUGACAGGAACAAAAUCCUACACGUCAAGAUCUCCCCAGAACUUUCCAGGUUAUUGAAGGUCUCUCUCCCUCCCUCAACUCUGGAAUGGAAGAAUGUGGAGGUAAACAAGCCCAGGUGGGUUGCCCCCUCCACCUUUCUCUGCCUCUCUUCUUUGAACCAAACAGGCUUUGUUUCCCCUUCUCUCCUUUCCCAGGAGGGAUUGCUCUAAUGUCAUAGCCUCUUCCUUCCCCAAAUGGCAUGUUCUGUUACCCUUUUCUGUAACCACAAAGGCAGAAAGAACCAAGCUCACUGAUGAGGGGGUAAUUCAAACUCCUUCAGUUAGCAUAUCUGUCUGAAAAUAUAUAGUCAUCUAUGUCCUCAUUUGUGUCCCUAGAAGGGCAGGAUUGUGCUUGCCUCACGGACUGUUAUAUCCCCACUACUUGGCAUGAUGCUGCUAUCAUAAGUUAACGAGAAUGCAGCAAGCUUGGAAUAACAAAAAUGUAUUAUCUCGUAGUUCCCAUGGAUUAGGAGUCAGGCAUGGCAUAACUUGGUCAUCUUCUUAGGUGACCUGUAUUCAAGAUGUCAACCACCAAGAGACAGGAUCUCAUCCGAGGCUCAAGGACUUUAUAUGGUUGUUGGCAGAAUCCAUUUCCCUGCCACUAUAGAGCAAUAGUGACUUGCUGCAAAGCAAGCAAGAGGCUCUUUCUGACACUUUCAGAGCUUUCAUUUGAUUUAGACUCAUCCAAGAUAAUUGCCCUUUUGAUUAGCUCAAAAUCAACUGAUUUGCAAAGCUUUUAACCUUUGCCAUAAAGCCCAAUCCAAUCACAGGUGCAGCAUUCAUCAUAUUUUCAGGUCCUGCCCACAGUGGAAGGAAACACAAAGAAUGAGUCAUUGAGAAUCAUCUUAGGACUCUGCCUGCUAUGGUACCUCAAAGGUUUGUUGAAUGAAUAAAUGAAAACAAGAAGAAAGAUAUGUACCCCAUUUGUCCUUACAAUAAUUCCAGGAUGUAGGCAGUAUCACAAAGGAUUUGCCUUUAUUCAAAGAGGUAGAAAUUGCAAGAUAGGCUGAAGACUAAGGUCUGUUUGAGUCCUCAGAAAAAUAUUCCCCUCAAACCUCAGCUGUGGUAUGCUGUGUGUGACCAGUGCCUUUCACACAAACAGGUUCAGCCCUUCUGCUCCCACUCUCAGGUUAGAGCCAGCCAUGAGGUGGAGCCACAGGCCCAUGAGUGCUUUCACUGUUCAUCCUCCCAAACACUGGGUCACCCACAG
rnacentral:lncRNA from 1 species